rnacentral:rRNA from 1 species
GGGCAAGCGUUAUCCGGAUUUACUGGGUGUAAAGGGAGCGUAGACGGAAUGGCAAGUCUGAUGUGAAAGGCAGGGGCUCAACCCCUGGACUGCAUUGGAAACUGUCAGUCUUGAGUACCGGAGGGGUAAGCGGAAUUCCUAGUGUAGCGGUGAAAUGCGUAGAUAUUAGGAGGAACACCAGUGGCGAAGGCGGCUUACUGGACGGUAACUGACGUUGAGGCUCGAAAGCGUGGGGAGC